UACGUAGGGUGCAAGCGUUGUCCGGAAUUAUUGGGCGUAAAGAGCUCGUAGGCGGUUUGUCGCGUCUGCUGUGAAAAUCCGGGGCUCAACCCCGGACUUGCAGUGGGUACGGGCAGACUAGAGUGUGGUAGGGGGAGACUGGAAUUCCACGUGUAGCGGUGAAAUGCGUAGAGAUGUGGAGGAACACCGAUGGCGAAGGCAGCCUUCUGGGCCAACACUGACGCUCAUGCACGAAAGCGUGGGGAGCAAACAGG
rnacentral:rRNA from 1 species